rnacentral:misc_RNA from 1 species
GAUGAAGAACGUAGUGAAAUGCGAUAACUAGUGUGAAUUGCAGAAUUCCGUGAAUCAUCGAGUCUUUGAACGCACAUUGCGCCCCCUGGUAUUCCGGGGGGCAUGCCUGUCCGAGCGUCAUUGCUGCCCAUCAAGCACGGCUUGUGUGUUGGGUCGUCGUCCCCUCUCCGGGGGGGACGGGCCCCAAAGGCGGCGGCGGCACCGCGUCCGAUCCUCGAGCGUAUGGGGCUUUGUCACCCGCUCUGUAGGCCCGGCCGGCGCUUGCCGAACGCAAAUCAAUCUUUUUCCAGGUUGACCUCGGAUCAGGUAGGGAUACCCGCUGAACUUAAGCAUAUCAAUAAGCGGAGGA